CGAACGGGACUCGGUGCUAGUGGAGACGGGUGAGUAACACGUGGGAACGUACCUUUCGGUUCGGAAUAAUUCAGGGAAACUUGGACUAAUACCGGAUACGCCCUUCGGGGGAAAGAUUUAUCGCCGAUAGAUCGGCCCGCGUCUGAUUAGCUAGUUGGUGAGGUAAUGGCUCACCAAGGCGACGAUCAGUAGCUGGUCUGAGAGGAUGAUCAGCCACAUUGGGACUGAGACACGGCCCAAACUCCUACGGGAGGCAGCAGUGGGGAAUAUUGGACAAUGGGCGCAAGCCUGAUCCAGCCAUGCCGCGUGAGUGAUGAAGGCCUUAGGGUUGUAAAGCUCUUUUGUCCGGGAAGAUAAUGACUGUACCGGAAGAAUAAGCCCCGGCUAACUUCGUGCCAGCAGCCGCGGUAAUACGAAGGGGGCUAGCGUUGCUCGGAAUCACUGGGCGUAAAGGGCGCGUAGGCGGACUCUUAAGUCGGGGGUGAAAGCCCAGGGCUCAACCCUGGAAUUGCCUUCGAUACUGAGAGUCUUGAGUUCGGAAGAGUUGGUGGAACUGCGAGUGUAGAGGUGAAAUUCGUAGAUAUUCGCAAGAACACCAGUGGCGAAGGCGGCACUGGUCCGAUACUGACGCUGAGGCGCGAAAGCGUGGGGAGCAACAAGAUAGAUACCUGGUAGUCACGCCGUAACGAUG
rnacentral:rRNA from 1 species